rnacentral:rRNA from 1 species
GACGAACGCUGGCGGCGUGCUUAACACAUGCAAGUCGAACGGAAAGGCCCUGCUUGCAGGGUACUCGAGUGGCGAACGGGUGAGUAACACGUGGGUGAUCUGCCCUGCACUUCGGGAUAAGCCUGGGAAACUGGGUCUAAUACCGGAUAGGAGCCAUUUUUAGUGUGAUGGUUGGAAAGUUUUUUCGGUGUAGGAUGAGCUCGCGGCCUAUCAGCUUGUUGGUGGGGUAAUGGCCUACCAAGGCGGCGACGGGUAGCCGGCCUGAGAGGGUGGACGGCCACAUUGGGACUGAGAUACGGCCCAGACUCCUACGGGGGGCAGCAGUGGGGAAUAUUGCACAAUGGGCGCAAGCCUGAUGCAGCGACGCCGCGUGGGGGAUGACGGCCUUCGGGUUGUAAACGCCUUUCGCUAGGGACGAAGCUUUUUGUGACGGUACCUAGAUAAGAAGCACCGGCUAACUACGUG